AAAUGGGCCAGGAUGAAGCCCAAACAAAAACUAUAUGAUAGCUGACUUCUUGAAGAACAUGUGAAGCACAAGUUUUCCCAAAAAGAUUAAAAAUUGAACAAGUUAUGGAGUUUUGAAGUAACGGUAUAGGCAUGGGCCUAGCUUUAUGUGCGGUUUGGACCUUUUGGGCCUUAAGGGGACCAAAUAUGGUCGUUUUGAGCCCAAAUUU
rnacentral:lncRNA from 1 species